rnacentral:rRNA from 1 species
UACGUAGGGGGCUAGCGUUGUCCGGAAUCAUUGGGCGUAAAGCGCGUGUAGGCGGUCCGGUAAGUCCGCUGUGAAAGUCGGGGGCUCAACCCUCGGAUGCCGGUGGAUACUGUGGGACUAGAGUACGGAAGAGGCGAGUGGAAUUCCUGGUGUAGCGGUGGAAUGCGCAGAUAUCAGGAGGAACACCAAUAGCGAAGGCAGCUCGCUGGGACGUUACUGACACUGAGGCGCGAAAGCGUGGGGAGCGAACAGG